GAUGAACGCUGGCGGCGUGCCUAAUACAUGCAAGUCGAGCGAACAGAUGAGGAGCUUGCUCCUCUGACGUUAGCGGCGGACGGGUGAGUAACACGUGGAUAACCUACCUAUAAGACUGGGAUAACUUCGGGAAACCGGAGCUAAUACCGGAUAAUAUAUUGAACCGCAUGGUUCAAUAGUGAAAGACGGUUUUGCUGUCACUUAUAGAUGGAUCCGCGCCGCAUUAGCUAGUUGGUAAGGUAACGGCUUACCAAGGCAACGAUGCGUAGCCGACCUGAGAGGGUGAUCGGCCACACUGGACCUGAGACACGGUCCAGACUCCUACGGGAGGCAGCAGUAGGGAAUCUUCCGCAAUGGGCGAAAGCCUGACGGAGCAACGCCGCGUGAGUGAUGAAGGUCUUCGGUUCGUAAAACUCUGUUAUUAGGGAAGAACAAAUGUGUAAGUAACUAUGCACGUCUUGACGGUACCUAAGCAGAAAGCCACGGCUAACUACGU
rnacentral:rRNA from 1 species